GCCGGAGGUAGGGUCCAGCGGCU
rnacentral:ncRNA from 2 species